rnacentral:rRNA from 1 species
UACGGGGGGGGCAAGCGUUGUUCGGAAUCACUGGGCGUAAAGGGCUCGUAGGCGGCCAACUAAGUCAGACGUGAAAUCCCUCGGCUUAACCGGGGAACUGCCUCUGAUACUGGAUGGCUUGAGUUCGGGAGAGGGAUGCGGAAUUCCAGGUGUAGCGGUGAAAUGCGUAGAUAUCUGGAGGAACACCGGUGGCGAAGGCGGCAUCCUGGACCGACACUGACGCUGAGGAGCGAAAGCCAGGGGAGCAAACGGG